rnacentral:rRNA from 1 species
UACAGAGGGUGCAAACGUUGUUCGGAAUUACUGGGCGUAAAGCGCGCGUAGGCGGACCUGCAAGUCGGGGGUGAAAGCCCGAGGCUCAACCUCGGAACUGCCUUCGAUACUGCGGGUCUCGAGUCCGGGAGAGGUGAGUGGAAUUCCUAGUGUAGAGGUGAAAUUCGUAGAUAUUAGGAAGAACACCAGUGGCGAAGGCGGCUCACUGGCCCGGUACUGACGCUGAGGCGCGAAAGCGUGGGGAGCAAACAGG